CCCCGGACUGAUAACUAGAUUGUUUGUCGGUGGAAAAUCUUUUUUCCAAACUUUUGUCAGUCCCUUACAGUCCUUUAAGUGUCCGGGAUAUUAAUUUUAAACAAAGUUUAUUCUUUUUUUUAGAAAGGGGGAUCGAUUCUUACACGAUGGUCAUAGAAUAAAUGUGAUUUCUUUUAUCGUUUACUUUCCCUCUACAAUU
rnacentral:snoRNA from 1 species